rnacentral:lncRNA from 1 species
CAAGUCAGUUACAUAAGCCCUGGUGGGACGUCCCUAAGGCAGCCCCUGGGACUCGGGAAGAGGGGAACUACAGGGACCCCACCCUUCCCCAAGCAAUUCUUGCAUGACUUCGAGGAAGUCUUCAGAAACCACAGGCUGAGGACGCUUUGUGAAGAAGGUUAAAGAAGGGGGAACAAAAAAAUCAGAGACUCAGAGCACGCCAGCCCCCAAGGCAAAGAACAGCUUUUCCCGAGCACUCUGUGAUUGUGUACUGCAUACCAGACCCAGACCCAGCCCUCCAGGCGACGAUGACAAUCAGAUGGAGACCCGAACCAAGCAUGGAGUGGACACUCAGAAGUCUGUAAUACAACGCUGUAUGUGACAGUGCCACAGCAGGAAGGGAGGAAUGGCAGGGAAUGUGAAGGAGAAAUUAUUUCCAGUACAAAGAACCAAGGAAGGCCUCUUAAAGGAGGAGGAUCCCGAACUCAGGACUAAGGACACAAAUGAUUUGAAAACAUGGGCUGAUGAGGUGGGGGACAGAAGGAAGGAUUUGAGACUCUAAAGACAUUACAAAACAGAGUGCCUGUAGGAUAAAGACAUUACAAAACAGAGUGCCUGUAGGAUAAAGACAUUACAAAACAGAGUGCCCGUAGGAUAAAG